ACCAACUGGACAUGUUUCUAUCUCUAUAGGAAUGUUACCUGUUCCAAAUCACAAAGUGGGUGGUUGAUAGCCGGAGCAGAGCCAGAGUUUGGAUGAAGGCUCGUAGACUGGAGGGUGUGCCAGUAAGCACCGACAGUGAGCCAGCAGGCACAAUACAGAGUUCUGGAUCUGACACGUUGAAGUGGAAUGCAGCCACCAGCGUCCGCAGAAGAGGAGGCGAGGAUUUCUAAUAAAAACAGGAGAGGAAAUAGAAAAGAUGCAGAGAGUCUCAAGCUAAUGUAAGGAAGUCAACAGUGAGCAUGGAGGACAUUUACAAACGUUCUUGAGCAUCCUUCACACUACUGCACAGCCCAGCCUUGGAUACCAAAUGUUUCUGCCCUUUCACUUAAGUGCUACAAUCCACCACUGCUGCUAAACAUCAUGCAUCACUGAUGCUAACGCACUUUAACUAUCACACCUUUUGCUGCUUCUGUGCAUU